rnacentral:rRNA from 1 species
ACGGGAGGCAGCAGUGGGGGAUAUUGCACAAUGGGGGAAACCCUGAUGCAGCGACGCCGCGUGAGCGAAGAAGUAUUUCGGUAUGUAAAGCUCUAUCAGCAGGGAAGAAAAUGACGGUACCUGACUAAGAAGCUCCGGCUAAAUACGUGCCAGCAGCCGCGGUAAUACGUAUGGAGCAAGCGUUAUCCGGAUUUAUUGGGUUUAAAGGGUGCGCAGGCGGCCUGCUAAGUCUCCGGUGAAAUGUCAGGGCUCAACCUUGGCACUGCCGGAGAUACUGGCGGCCUUGAGAGUGGCGGAGGUAUCCGGAAUGUGUGGUGUAGCGGUGAAAUGCAUAGAUAUCACACAGAACACCGAUUGCGAAGGCAGGAUACCAUACCAUAUCUGACGCUCAGGCACGAAAGCGUGGGGAUCGAACAGGAUUAGAUACCCUGGUA